GCCGGGGUGGCGGAAUUGGCAGACGCGCCGGACUCAAAAUCCGGUUCCCGCAAGGGAGUGAGGGUUCGAGUCCCUCCCUCGGCA
rnacentral:tRNA from 1 species